rnacentral:rRNA from 1 species
UCGAGCACGCGCGUGUGGCAUAUCAAUAAGCGGAGGAAAAGAAACUAACAAGGAUUCUCUUAGUAACGGCGAGUGAAGCGGGAAGAGCUCAAAUUUGAAAUCUUCAAGGUUCUACCUUGACGAAUUGUAGUUUAUAGAAGUGUUUUCUGUUAGUAGAGUUGGCUAAAAGUUCUUUGGAAUAGGACAUCAUAGAGGGUGAGAAUCCCGUAUUUGAUCAUUCUUUCUAACUUUGUGAUACACUUUCAACGAGUCGGAUUGUUUGGGAAUGCAGUCCAAAAUGGGUGGUAAAUUUCAUCUAAAGCUAAAUAUUGGCGAGAGACCGAUAGCGAACAAGUACCGUGAGGGAAGGAUGAAAAGAACUUUGAAAAGAGAGUUAAACAGUACGUGAAAUUGUCAAAAGGGAAGCGUUUGACACCAGUGUUGUUUUUCCGAAAAUCAAUUACGAAUGUUUUAUUUUUGAGAGAGUUAUGACUUCAUCGGCUUGCUUCUUUCUUUACGAAACUUUCUUAAUGCACUUUUCGGUUAACAAGUCAACAUCAAUUUCUUUUGUUGUAAAAGGGUACGAGGAAGGUGGCUUUCUUUUCGGAGAAAGUGUUUAUAGCCUUGUAGCCUCUGCAAUCGGAGAGAUUGAGGUCUGCAGCGUAGAUCCUUCGGGGUUAGAUACAUUUGUGCUAAGUUAUAGCUUUUCAUAGACAACUUGUUGACUAUGUUAAGUCUUGUAGCUUACUCGCUUAUGCUAUUUUACCUACGCUUAGGAUGUUGAUGUGAUACUGCGAGCA